AAGUAGUAGUAAUAGUAUUUAUGAAAAGAAUGAUAAAUGUUCUUUAAAUAUUUUGAUUGCAGAAAAGGCACAUAAAAUUAUAAAAAAUGGAAGAGUAUAUAAACCAAUUGAACCGAUUACAAAUUUCCAAACUCAUCAUAAGUAUCUAUCUAAAGAAAUGAUAUGGAUGAGUAUUGAUUAUUAUGAAGAAAAAAGAUGGAAAAGAAAUGUUUCACAAAGAUUUAGUUAUUUUGUAAAUAAUCAUUUUGAAGAGAAAAAAAAAAAUAGUAAACAUUUUAUAUCUUCUCAGAUAUCAAAUAGUAUUAAAAUGUUUUGGUUUUUUAUAUUAAAUGAAAUUAGGCCUGAUUUAGUACCAGUAGAAAUAGAUUAUAAAAUUAAAAAUAAGCAAGCUGUUAAAGCAGACAUUUUAAAAUCUAUUAAAAAUAAUAUACAAAUAGAAAAAUAUAAUAUGAAUAAAAUAAGUCAAGUGAAUGGCAUUAAAAGUUCACUUAGUUACAAACCGAGUGAUAACUCAUUAAUACAUGCUAUAAAUAGCAAUACUAGUACUAAUAACAGUAAUAAUAACAAUAAUGAUGGUGAUAAUAAUAAUAGUACUAGUAACAAUAAUAAUAACAGUAAUAGUAGUAAAAAUGAUGGUAAUGAUGAUGGUGAAAAAGAGCUUAGAAGAAAUAAUCUUUAUUCAAACCGAUUUAAAACGAAUGUGCUUAUUACAAGUGAUGUAUUUGACAAUGAAGGACAACAUAAUUCCUCUUUUAAUGAUAUCAGUAUAAAUCCAUCCGAUCAAGGGAAGAAUGCUAAAACAAAUAACAAACUCAGUGUUAAUAACAAAACUGAGUCAACACUACUACCAGGUAGUGAAAAACGUGACAUACAAAUGAAUAUUAAUAUUACGAACAAAAAAGAAGAUAAUAGAUGUAGGAUUGUUAUUAACCCUGGUGGAAGUAGGUAUAAAAAUUUGAAUAAAAAAAAUAUAACUACUAUUAUACAUCCUGAAAUAAUAAAGUUGAAGGACGAGAAAUAUAUGAUGGAGGAGACAUAUGGCAAUGACUAUUAUGAACAGUUUAUAAAAAAUGUGUGGGAAAAUACAAAUAAAGUAUUAAAAAAGCAUAAAUAUGACAAUAAUAGUAACAAUAAUAAUAAUAAUAGUAGCAUUUAUAAUAAUAAUAAUAAUACUUAUAAUACAGUAGCGGGAUAUAACAGUUAUUCAAAUGUGUUAGGGAAUGUUUCUGUUUACGAAAAUGAGUUUGAUUAUGAUGCAAGAAAUUGUAGUUCAUACAUGUAUUAUGAGCAUAAUGCAAUUAAUAAUAACAAUAACAAUAAUACGAGUAAUGUCAAAGAUAACCAUAUAAAAUACUUAAAUUUGAGCAACUCCUUAUACAUUUAUUGUUUUCUUUUUGUUAGUAUUUAUCUUUUAGAUGGCAAUGAACAUAUAAUAUACAAAUCGGACACAAUUUUAAGUGAAAAUGAAGAAAUGGAAUUAGAUGAUGAGUAUAAAAUAGAUACUUGUGAUAAUUACUUGAAAUUGAAACAAUUGGAAGAUAACUGUACUGAACAAGAAGAUUAUUACUUGUACAAAAAGAAAAAAAUAAAAAAAAACAAAAAACAUUCUCAUAAAAAACAUGGUUUAUAUGAACAAGUAGAGGAUGAAGAUAAAGUUGGAUCAAUAAAAGAAAAAGAAAAUAUAACAAAUAAACAAAAGGAAGCGAAAAAACACAAAGAACGAAUGAAAGAAAGUAACGUUAUUAAAUAUCAAUCUGUAAAAUCAGAAAUUAAAAGUGUGUUAGAAGGUGAUAACGAUGAUAUGUAUAAUAAAAUGAAUAGAAGUAUAUACCAAAAAAGUGCUUAUGAUAAUGAUGAUAAUAUUAUUAUUAAAAAAAAAAACACUCACACUACUAUUUAUAAUAAAAAUUAUGGGGAUUGUUAUGAAGGUGUAACAUAUGACAAUAAUUAUACCACUAGUACUACUGUUGUUAAUAAUGAAAACGACGACAGUGGAAAUUACAAUAACAUCUACAACAACUAUGAUGAAUGUAACAACUACAACUAUACUAACAACUACGAUAACGAGAACGAAAGCUACAACAAUAACAACGAACGCUACAACUACGACGACAGUGACAACAGUGACGACAACAUCAUUUUGACGUUAUCACCCAGUUCACACAACUUAGAUGUUAAAGAAUUAUUUUUAAUACCAUAUACUACUGAAAAUAUCCAGAAUAAAGAAAAUGUAACUACAGGUGUAAGUAAACAUAUAUGCGAAUACUUAAAUGAUAUUAAAGAAAAAUAUGUAAACAUUUAUAUGAACAAUAUGGAACUAUAUGGAGGUAAUAUUUACCCUUUUGAAUUUCAUUAUAUAGAUAAUUUUUAUAAAGAUAUCCAUUUACCCUUAAUGAAUUUAUCUGAAUAUGAUGAAUAUACUUUUUUUAUAUAUUUAUUUUAUUUAAAAAACGCUCAUUAUAUAUUAAAGAAACAAAUAAAAAAAGAAAAAAAAAAACGUAAAAAAGAUUUUUCAGAUAUUACUACUACGGCUUCAAAAAAAAGAACUCCGAAACGUAAAUUAAAUAAACUUGAAAACGAGAACGAAAACGAGAAUGAAAACGAGAAUGAAAACGAGAACAAGAAUGAGAAAGAAAAUAAAAACGAAAAUAAAAACGAAAAUAAAAACGAAAAUAUAAACGAAAAUAUAAACGAAAAUAUAAACGAAAAUAUAAACGAAAAUAUAAACGAAAAUAUAAAAGAGAAUAAGAAUGAAAACGAAAAUAUAAAAGAGAAUAAGAAUGAAAACGAAAAUAAAAACGAAAAUGUAAACGAAAAUGUAAACGAAAAUGUAAACGAAAAUGUAAACGAAAAUGUAAACGAAAAUGUAAACGAAAAUGUAAACGAAAAUGUAAACGAAAAUAUAAACGAGAACGAAAUAAAAAAAAAUGAUGAAUGUGAAAAGGGCAUAGCAAGUGAAAAUUUGUUAAUUAAUAUUAAAAAUGAAAAUAU
ensembl:lncRNA